rnacentral:rRNA from 1 species
UACGUAGGGGGCAAGCGUUGUCCGGAAUUAUUGGGCGUAAAGCGUGCGCAGGCGGUUUUGUAAGUCUGUCGUGAAAUCCCCGGGCUCAACCUGGGAAUUGCGAUGGAGACUGCAAGGCUAGAAUCUGGCAGAGGGGGGUAGAAUUCCACGUGUAGCAGUGAAAUGCGUAGAGAUGUGGAGGAACACCGAUGGCGAAGGCAGCCCCCUGGGUCAAGAUUGACGCUCAUGCACGAAAGCGUGGGGAGCAAACAGG